CACCCAGGCUGUAAAAAGCCAUAAGCUUUAAUUAUUCAUCCUAAGCCUAAACUCUUUUAAAUCGAUAAAGCCGGGACAUAAACUUAGGUUAAAUCCUUUACUAUACCCUGCCACCACACACAAUUAAAGUACUAUUUGUUCGCCAACCAACUUCGAGUAGUAACUUAAAACUUAAAAGACUUGACGGUGCUUCACCACAACCUAGAGGGGCCUGUCUAUAACCGCCAACCCACGAUUAACCUCACCCUCUCUCGCCAACAGUCUAUAUACCCCCGUCAUAAGCUUACCCUGUAAAAGAAACAAAAUGAGCUAAAUAGCACUACGCUAAAACGACAGGUCGAGGUGUAACCCAUGAGAGGGCAAAGAUGGGCUACAUUCUCCCACAGAGCAUACGAAUAACACUAUGAACAUAGUGACUGAAGGUGGAUUUAGUAGUAAGAUAGGAAUAAAAUACCUAACUGAACAUAAAGCAAUGAAGCGCGUACACACCGCCCGUCAUCCCUGCCCAUAUCUAACUAAUCUACAUAAACCCCUCCCAAUACCAACCCAGGGCAAGUCGUAACAUGGUAAGUGUACUGGAAAGUGCACUUAGAAACAAAAAGUAGCUUACAUAAAGCAUUCGACCUACACUCGAAAGACAUUCUUACAAUCUUUUUGAGCUGACUAUACAACUAAUCACAAACAUAUACCUACCCACCAAACAAACCAUUUGAUAAACCUAGUAGUUGUGAUCGAACAGUAAACAGUCAAAACAAAGUACCGCAAGGGAAACCCCCAAGCAACUACAGC
rnacentral:rRNA from 1 species